CUUGGUGAAGAGACUUAGAGGUUCUCAAUUUUGGGAACUUGGAGAAACCUAUUCUUCCAUCCAAAUCCAUAGAUCUAAGAUGCAAGGAAUGAAGGCCCUCUCUUUGGGUGAUUAGCCUUUGCUUAUGCAAAGAGGAAUCUACAAAGGUAUAAUUUCUCAACUCACUUUGUUUUGAGUUGAGUCUUGGUUCACCAAUCUACUAGGCUUUGAAUUUCAUGGUUAAUGUUUUGUUUUUUAAGUGCAUGCAAGCAUGAUUCCGCCUUUAAUUGUUAAUUGCAUGCUUAUAGAUGUUGCUUAAAUGAACAUGUUUUCACAAAAUUCAUCCUUCAAGUGGUAUCAGAGCCUAGGUCUAGUAGUUGGUGAAUCCUUUUGGGUUUUGUAGUUCAUAGUUUUGAUUUAAAAGUUGUAAUAUGUUACAAGCUUUAUUCUUGUUUCUUUGAAUGUAAAUUUUGUUAGAAAAUUUGCCAUCUCAAAUGUUGUAGAUGUAGUUCAUAUGAGCAUGAAUAUUGGAGCUAAAAUUUGGUGCCAUGACUUUUGGGAAAAUUUUCGGCCAAAUCCAAAGGGUGGAUUUUUGGGUUCUUGUUUGACUUGUUAAAAGUGUUUUCAAGUGACUUUUGGAACCCCUAUGUACCCUAGUUUGGUUAUAUGUUAUUUCCCUUAAAGUUUGAAUGGUUUUGGAAUGUUUUUGGGUGAAAAAUGUUCAUGGAAAAAUUUUGGGUUUUUUCAUGAGUGUUCUUCAUUGUUCUUGACAUUUUUGCCAAGAACAAAAAAAGGUUUGGUGUUUUGAUUCAAAGUUUUGAUUUAUUUCAUAAAGUUUUGUUUUGUUUUCAAAUGUUUUAAUGUGAUUAGAAAUUGUGAAAGGUGAUGGAAAUGGUGAUAGGUGUGUAAGAAGUACUUCUCUUACACACACAUCACUUGCAAGACUUUAAGUCACAUACCCACUUGCAUAAUUUAUGUCACAAAUCCACUUGCAAGGCUUUAUGAAAUUGUUGAAAAAAAAAUUCAAAUUUUUGUGGACUUACUCCACUCCCUUUCCCUCUCUAAAACCGGCCACUCCCUCAAUGGGAGUACUUUUGGGGCUUUUAUGCAAUUACAUAAAGUUUUGAUACUUUUGUGUAUUUGCACUUUGGCCCAAAAGUUUACGUUUUUUACGUUUAGGUCCAAAAACGCUAAAGGACAAAUUGUUUUGCUCCUUUAAUGAAGUUUUUGCAUUUGUUAAAUUUUUGGGUUCUAGUUGUAAUUACAUGAAGUAGUGGACUUUUGUGUUUUUACAAAGUGACCCCAAAAGUUUUGCAAUAUAGCCCAAAAGUUGAGGUUAAUUGCUUUAUGGCCCAAAUAAGUUGUGGUUAUUGCAUAUUGGCCCAAAUUAGGUUGAGAACAAAAUUGUUUUGUCUCUUUAAAUGAGAAUUGGAUUUUCAUUUCAUUUAGCUCCAUUUAAAUCAAUUUUAUGGAUACAAAAACCAAAUGAAAAUGUUGCAUUCAAUUUAAUUAGUUAAAGUGUUAAUUAAUUAAAGGGUGAUUAUGAACCUAAGCCUAAUAUAAUUGAGCUAUGUGAAAGGCCGUUUCAAAUUUGUUUGAACCAUGGGAAUGUGUAGAUUAGAUUUUGGUUGUAAUUUGAUUUGAUCAAAUGUUGUAAAAGGCAUAAGCUCUUCUUUACUUUAAAGUAAUUUGUUUUAUGCAAAUGUUGUAAUGAGCAUAAGCUCACCUUUACUUUGAAGUACUUCUUUCUUGCUUUAUUUGAUAUGCAUGAAAAUGAAGUAGUUGGGUCCAACGCCCCUAAGACAACACGCCUUAAUGUGAUUAAACGCGUAACUAAAAUCAAUCACCAUCCCUAGACCGAGAUUCAACACUAGGCUCGUGUUGAAUCUAAACAAAGGUUCAUAGUCAUCCUAAGGCCCUAAGGCAACUAUAUAGUCCAUCAAAUGAAUGCAAAGUUUAUGUUAGUAGUAUCAUAUACUCUUGCUUUAAAAACCGUUUUAUAAGCAUAGUGGGAGUAUUAUAUACAACUAAAAACAAUAAUAUGGACCAAUAGUUGUAAUAGGACCAAAAUUGUUUUAAUAGAGAUUAAAAUGUAUGUUUAUAUGUGAUGAGACCUAAAACCCUCAACCAAACCAUUAUUAAGUUGAUAAGCGUGAGAGUGCUUUGAACACUCUUUCGUGGCCUUCCACCGUGGUAGGCUCCGAUCGUUUGUGACUCGUACACCGGCUUCACCCUAUCAUGGGGGAGUACAAAGUGCAUGCUUAUACUCAGGAGGAGUCCUAUAAACAUAUGAUGAAGUUGAAGGUAGGCAACGAGGAUGGCCAAUAUCAUAUCAUUGUGAGGCUAUUCUUGAACCCCUACAUGAACUAAGCAUGGUGGGAAUGACUUAACUAAGUGCAAUGGAGCCAAUAUCAUAUCAUUGUGAGGUGGGCUUGGUAAUAGUGAGCCUCCCAUACCCUACUAAGAGUUUCCUCCAAAACUCUCGAAUUCCAAUGAGGGAUAUGGAAUUUGCCAAAAAUAGUGGGUGGUGCUAUUUGAUUUAAAGACCCGGAUCAAAUGGCUUAAAAAUCAAUCAAUUUAUAUUCGUUAUGUAUUUGUUUACCAAUAUAUUUGCAAACGCUAUCCAACACUUGACAAAUAAAAGCCGAAAGCUUUAGUUUCCGGACUUGGUACUACAAAACCAUAGAUUGUCUUUAAAUGGCUUGUAAAUGUACCUAAGUAGUCUCAUCCUCACAAUCUUCCUAUUGAUAAUGUAUCAUUAGAAGAAAAAUGUUAGAAAAGUCUAUCAUAAAGAGGACAACACUUUUAAUGUCAUAAUUCUUCAAUUACAAAUCGUUGUAUGAAGAAAUAAGAGUUGCUUUGAACAACCCUUAGUCAAUGCAAACACUUAGUGCUUGUUUCUUUGUUACAUGAACAAGGAACUUGAGAAGAAAGCACAAAGGCAUGGACACUUUAUGUGCCAUGAUUCUUCACUUACAAAUUGUUGUAUGAAGAAAUGAGAGUUGCCUUGAACAACUCUUGAAAGUUUGUAAUUAUGUUUAGAACAUAAUGGUUGGUUGACAAAAAUAGUCCAUCAACAUGGACUUAUGAUGAUUUUGAAUCAUUGAGUGUUGAAGUGAUUAAACCACUUAACGAGACGGAAACUAGGCAAGGACUUCACCUUUGUGUCCCUAUCCUAAUGGUUCACUAAGUUUAUUGUAAACUAUGUAGUGAACAAUAACCACAUGCUCUCCAAAAUGUUUGAUGUGUAUAACACAAUUGAAAUAAGUUUCAAGAGAGAUAGUGGGAGUUUAGGGACCAUGACUAUUGUAGUCAAAGGAGAAGUCAAAUGAAGAAGAUAAAAUUAACUCCAAGGGAACAAACUUUCUUUAUGAAAGGAUGGACAUUGGAAGGGGUAUUUGCAAGAAAUGUCUUGCAAGUGUCAAGAACACACCUUUCGAAGGUGUUGUAAAUUGUUCUUGAAUAGUUCAAAACAGUUGGUUCUUCUACUUGAAUGCUUGAUUCCGUAUUAGUAACUAUGUUUUACAAUCGUUGUAAAAGUGUGACUAAUAAGAAGUAGAAGAUUAUAUGAGAGAAGAGAAAAAGGUGCUUCACAUUCGGAACGUGAAUAAAAUAUAGAUCUCUGCGAAAGCAGAUAGUACUUACUUCCUCAUAUGAACUACCAAAGAAAUUGGAAAAACCAAAGAUUGUCUUUACAUUCCAAUUUUAAGGAACUUAAUUCCGUCACUAUAGUAGAGAUGGAUGAAUGUUUUGUUUGACAAAACAUUGUUCUUUAUUAAUCAAUGAUUGGAUUAUGGUAAUCUAAUUGAUUGUCUCUAUAGUAGAGAUAAUAUGGUAGUGUUAACUGUUUAGAAUAUAAUGAUGCUUAAAACCCAAAAGGUUGCAAGGUAGUGACUAAUCCCAACUAAGUUGUGAUACCUCUAAAACAUAAAUUACGAGUUGGUCAUAGAUGGAUGCUUUGGAUCGUUAGAUCCGGAUCCAAUACCUUCUUGUUAAAAUUGUAUAGAGGCGAAAUGUUCGAAUCUUUAUUCUUUUGGAAAGAAGAAAGAAUCACAAAGUUGUUGAGGUUAAUUCACUUAGAUGUUAGUGGCACUUGUCCACAACAUAAUACUACUCAUGUUGGAUGACAUUCACCGAAGAUCACUCUCGGUUGGACUAUAGUUUAUUUUGAAUAAACACAAGUCCGAAUACUUUGCAAAAUGUUUCAAAGAAUUCAAGAAAUGUAAGUUGAUGAGUAAGACGUCUAAAGUAUUUACCUCCUUAGAUUUGAUCCAAGGAAAGGUAACACUUUAGAUGAGUUUCCUUGAAAGAUAUCAAGGAAAAUAGCAUCAUAAGAUAAUGAAUUUCUCCAUUAGGAGAAGAACGAACUCGAAUAAGAUUUAGUUCGUUAGAUGUUAUCUAUUACCCAUAUAUAUAGGAUAUAUACUUCUAAAACAAUAUGAUUGUCAAUUAGAAGAUCUUCCAAUAUUUUCAUGACUCCAUAAGAUGUAGUUGGAAAGAAAGACAAAUCUUAAGCAUGUUAAGAUUUGGGGUUGUGUGCUAAUAAGCAAUAUUUGUUUGAUAACAAUCUUGUGGGAUAUCCUUAAAUUAACUUUUGGAUAUCGCUUCUAUAAACCAACUAACAAAUGUUGUUUUGUUGGGUAGUUCAUUGUAAUCCUACAAUGUGAUUUGCCUAAAAGCAAAUGAACGAGAGAUAGAACUCAAAGAAUGGGUUCUUUGAGAGACAAGAUAAGUAAUCAACAAAUAUAACAACCUAGUUCCUAUACCAAAAGCUCCAAGGUAGUCGAGAAGGAUUUAUAAACCGUCUCAGUUGAAUGGUUUGAACUUUAUGACUAUGUCAUAGAGUUGCACCUCUUAAUUCGAAAGAAAUAAGAAUGAAAAUCCUUAUGACUACAUUGAGUGUAUAUACGAUAUAUACUCAAGGAAAUGGUAAAGUACCAUUUGACCCGAAAUAAUGAAACCUUCAUAAGCUAAUUGGUAGCUUAAGGUGACUACAAUCAAAGAGAAUGGUUGACUUUGAAGAAACCAUCUUUUGACGUAGUCUUGGUUUCAAUUAAUUCGAAGAUUGCUAGCUACAACUAAAUGGUGAUUCAAUGUUUGGACAUAAUAUGGGUUUCCGAAACCAUUAUUAAGAUAGUCUUGAUAAUAUAUGUCUAAAACUAUGAAUCACAAGACAUGUAAGUUGUAGAGAUCCAUCCAUCAUGAAUCUUAGCAAGCUAGUGGGAGCUAUAAGCGUCUUAUGAGAGAAAGGAUCAAAUCGUUUGAUUUCUCAUAAAGAUGUAAAUGAAUCUUUUGUUUACUAGGUUUACAAAAGAUUAGUGGGAGUUAAUCAUAUUCCUAAAUUUGUAUAUAUAUAUAUAUAUAAAUAUAUAUGUGUAUAUAUGAAUGUAUAUAUGAUAUAUAAUUUUGGAAAUGAAAAGAAUACUUCUUCGUUAAAGUUAUGACUUUAAACAUUAUAUGAAGAUAGAAUGUAUAUGGGAGAUAUAGUCUAUAUACAUGGGAUGGAAAUCUAUAAUGAUAUAUUUCAUGAUAUAAUUGGAUUAUAUCAAUCCCUAAUAAUAGACAAUGGAUGCUAGGAAGUUUCUCAUAUGAUGAUAAACUUCAAUUAGAAGGACAACUCUAGUGAGACUAAGCAAGUUGCUCUUCUCAAAGAGAAACGUACUCUUUGACUCCCAAAGAAAUAAUGCGUAAAUAGAAUCCUUUAUGCAUACGCAGAAAGGUGAUUUAUGUAUUUCAUAUUGUAUGAAAAACAUUGAUAUGAGUUGUACCUAGAACGGUACAAGACGAUAUCAGUGCAAGCCCAGGAUCAGAACCAUGGCAACUGUCAAGUGAGUCCUUAAGUAUUUAAGAAAUACUAAAGGAUAGAUUCCUCAAAGAAUGAGGAAGAAUUAGAGUAACGUAAUGGAAGCGUAAAUGUAUUAGAUUAUGAAUCUAAUCCAUCAUUGGAUGUUUCUUCAUUAUGAAUGAAGAGAUAAACAGAUAUCUCUUUAUUAUGACUAAAGAGAUAUUUGGAUGGAAACAUUAAAAGUAAUGACUUUAGUGUGUUCCAUUAUGAAUGCAAAAUAUAUUGCCAUAUAGAAGUUUACAACAAUGUUGUUUGGAUGGGAAAGUUCAUUUAUGAACUCUCUAUUCGGUUCCAACCAGAAAAGUGUAUGACACUAAUGGGGCGAUAGCUCAAGCCAGGGAAUCAAGGUCUCAUCAAGAUCCGAACUCAAAUGAGAGACUGAACCACAUGAUUAAGAAUCAUGUAUAAUGGUGACGUCGUUAUUCUCAAGGUUGCUUCUAUGGAUAACAUAUAGAUAUCCAUUGUCUAGGCCUACUACUCAGCCAUUUAUGAAAUGACUACAGAAGAGGUAUCAUCACUGAUGACCAAGCUGAUUGGCUCUAGUGCAAGUGGGGAGAUUGUUGAAAUGUGCCCUAAAACCAAUCAUAUGAUGAUACUUUACGGACAUUUCACAUGUUAAACUAAUCUAGUUUAAUAUAAAAGGGCAAAGAUUAUUGUUUGAGCCGUCUCAUAUAAAAUGUUAUAUGCUUAAACGAUAAAGUCCAAGGAAUAUGUGAUUGGGAGAAUGCAAUCUAAAGAAGUUAGAUUCAUGAGACCAUUCUUUCGUAGACACAUCCUAAACGUUCCUGAUCAUAGGAUUGCCAAUUGGGCAUUGACAGUCCGUUAAGAUCAGUACGUGCUGUGUCUUCUCUCAGGGAGAGUGACUAGUCUCGAGUCAUUGGUGUGUGUGACAUCAAGACAAGUACGUAGGUGCUCAAUAGAGAAUGAGUUCACUGAACACGAUCAACGAAGAGUUCUCAUAUUCAUGUCACAUGAGAACUCAUGGUUGGGAUAAUGCAAAGUAGUCCUUUGACCUGAGGCAUCAUAGUUGUCUUGUGGUUAAGUCCUUGAUCUUUGAUUAUGUCAAAGUCACUCCAUCGGAGGUGUCCACGGCAUCGUUGGGGUUAAGCCACUUAGCCAUGGAGGCAAGUGAAUGCGCAACAAGGGAUCUCUAACCUUCAAACCGUUUGAGGGAGAAUACUCUAUGAUAUGAUUAAGAAUCUCUGGCCAGAGUAUGAAUGAGAUUUAGGAAGUCGCGUUCCAAAUCACAUUCAAGGUAAUCAUAUAAGCACACGAAUCACAUUGGAUAGUAGACAUGAAUAAAUAAACUAUCAAACCAAACAAUGUGGUCAAGAGUAUUGUAUUAGAGAAAGACCGUAUUGCAUUUGUAAUCCUAAACUGAAUAGGUUCUCCACCUCUUCUGAUUAAGCUUGGGUAACCAUGAUAUGCUGCUAGGUGUCACUCAUGGUUUGUGGAAGCCCUAAACGUGUAUAAUCACUAAAGGGAGAAUUGAAAGUAAGUUUCAAUUCACAAUCGAUUUGAAAAUGGUUUUAAUCGCCCACUGCCUCGCUAAAAGGAACCUAAUGGAUCGUACACCGUGUAAGGUGGAGAUUGAAGAAACAAUGGAGAUGAGUAAGAAUAAUUAAAUGGUUUAAUUAUUUAUGGCAAGGAUUAAUUAAUAUGUUAAUUAAUCAAACGAAUAAGUUCGUUAAAGACCUCGAGAUAGUUUUUGGACCUUAAGGCCCAAUGGGCUUCGAACGUCAAGCCCAUUGACUUAAGUUGUAUGACAACUUAAUGAAUAAUCACAAAAGGCCCAAAAGCCCAAACAAAACCCUAUGGCCGGCCAUUUAAGGAAGGGUAGUGAACUUGGACUUUAAUUUACAAGUUUGCCACUCCAAUAUGAAUAAAGGUAUAAAUAUGACUUUAUAGCCAAAAAUUCAUUAGGGUUUGUUUUGGAGAAAAAUUGGAGAGAACAUGUCUCUCCAUUUCUCUCUAAAGAGGCCGGCCCCUUGGAGGGUGCAUCUAGCAAUCCCACUACUCCAAGGUCACUCAUUUCUUCUCCAAUCUAACCUUGGUGAAGAGACUUAGAGGUUCUCUAAUUUUGGGAACUUGGAGAAACCUAUUCUUCCAUCCAAAUCCAUAGAUUUAAUAUGCAAGGAAUGAAGGCCCUCUCUUUGGGUGAUUAGCCUUUGCUUAUGCAAAGAGGAAUCUACAAAGGUAUAUUUCUCAACUCACUUUGAUUUGAGUUGAGUCUUGGUUCACCAAUCUACUCGGCUUUGAAUUUCUUGGUUAAUGUUUUGUUUUUAAGUGCAUGCAAGCAUGAUUCCGCCUUUAAUUGUUAAUUGCAUGCUUAUUGAUGUUGCUUAAAUGAACAUGUUUUCACAAAAUCAUCCUUCAAAAUUUUCUAACAAAAUUUACAUUCAAAGAAGCAAGAAUAAAGCUUGUAACAAUUACAACAUUCAAAUUAAAGACUAUGAACUACAAAACCCAAAAGAAUUCACCAACUACUAGACCUAGGCUCUGAUACCACUUGAAGGAAAUUUUGUGAAAAACAUGUUCAUUUGAGCAACAUCUAUGACAUGCAAUUAACAAUUAAAGGCGGAAUCAUGCUUGUAUGCACUCAAAAACAAAACAUUACCCAUGAAAUUCAAAGCCUAGUAGAAUGGUGAACCAAGACUCAACUCAAAACAAAGUGAGUUGAGAAACUUUAUACCUUUGUUGAUUUCUCUUUGCAUAAGCAAAGGCUAAUCGCCCAAGGAGAGGGCCUUCAUUCUUGCUUCUUAGCUCCAUGGAUUUCUUGGAUGAGGAUGGUUGAAAGGAUUCUCCAAGUUCCCAAAGUUGAGAACCUCUAAGUCUCUACACCAAGGUAGGACUUGAAGUAGAGAUGAGUGACCUAGAGGAAGUAAGAUUGCUAGCUAAAAUCCUCUAGGGUGGCCGGCCUCUUAGAGAGAAAAUUGGAGCUUGUGUUCUUAUCUUUUCUCUAAAAGAAACCCUAAUGAAGAAAAGGCUAUAAAGUCAUAUUUAUACCUUCCUUCAUUGGAGUGGCAAACUUGUAAUAAGUCCAAAACCCACUCCUUUAUCAAUAUGGCCGGCCAUAGGGUGUUAUUGGGCUGUUUGGGCCUUUGUGAAUAUAUAGUCAUUAAGUUGUCAUACAACUUAAGUCAAUGGGCUUGACGUUCGAAGCCCAUUGGGCCUUGAGGCCCAAAACUAACCCGAGGUUUUUAACGAACUUUAUUCGUUUGAUUAAUUAACAUAUUAAGUAAUCCUUGCCAUAAAUAAUUAAACCAUUUAAUUAUCCUUACUCAUCUCCGU
rnacentral:lncRNA from 1 species